rnacentral:rRNA from 1 species
GUAGGGAAUCUUCGGCAAUGGACGAAAGUCUGACCGAGCAACGCCGCGUGAGUGAAGAAGGUUUUCGGAUCGUAAAACUCUGUUGUUAGAGAAGAAUGUUGAUUAGAGUGGAAAAUUAAUCAAGUGACGGUAUCUAACCAGAAAGGGACGGCUAACUACGUGCCAGCAGCCGCGGUAAUACGUAGGUCCCGAGCGUUGUCCGGAUUUAUUGGGCGUAAAGCGAGCGCAGGUGGUGUAAUAAGUCUGAUGUAAAAGGCAGUGGCUCAACCAUUGUGUGCAUUGGAAACUGUUAGACUUGAGUGCAGUAGAGGAGAGUGGAAUUCCAUGUGUAGCGGUGAAAUGCGUAGAUAUAUGGAGGAACACCGGUGGCGAAAGCGGCUCUCUGGACUGUCACUGACACUGAGGCUCGAAAGCGUGGGUAGCAAACAGGAUUAGAUACCCGAGUAGUCC